rnacentral:lncRNA from 1 species
GUGCUAGCAUAGAAUCUAACAAGAAAUGGCCCUGCAUCCAUUCUCUUUUCUUCUAAUAACAGCCCCAGAUUUCCAUUUUUGGACCUACCUUUUCCUUUUUAUCAGGCUAAGUGUUCAUGGUGGGGCUCUGUCCUUAGUUCCAGGGAUAAAGCCUGUGACCCAAACUUAAACCGCAGAUCAUUUUCCCCAGGCCAUGGAGAUUGUUUCAAAUGUGGGCACAUGGCCUGAAUGGGUCAUAUCAGAGUAAAUCUUAGGGCUUCUGGGUUAUGCCACCAUCACAGGCUCUUGCUUUCCUCACUGAACUUGAACCUAGACGGAUGUAAGCUGGAGCUGUGGCAGCCAUCAUUGCCCUGUGAAAAGUCCACUUGGAGCUGCCAAAGACCACCCCAGGAGCUUCAGAAUGAAGACAACCUGGAAGUCAGAGCUGACAGAAAUAAGGUGAAGUUAGCUUGAGGAAAGAGCUGUAAGGAAGAGUGAAGUCAGCUGAGUCAAGGACACAAGCGGAAAAUGUGCAAAGAUGAGCCAGAAGCAUGGAAAAGUACCUCCAAGACAGAGGAGAACUGAUCCAAGAGAAAGGAGAUGGGAGUGGGCAUCACGUACAGCCAGAGGGCGCCACCUGCCGGUAAGAGCUGAAUAGUGAACUUCGUGUUUCUUGGGAUAAAACAUUGUAUAAUACACAGUACUGGGAAGAAAAUCAUAUACGCACUAAUGUGCCUCUACGUUAUACCGCCGUCAUUCCCCUAAUUUAUCACCCCCUUAUGAGUAAAUUCGGGUUACAAAAACUUGUGUAACAUAACAUUGUAUAUAUUCUUUGCAAUGUAUGCAAAUACACACAAAUAUGUAAAUAUAUGUUUAUUUGUUUGUAUACGCGUAGGAUAGUUUCAGAUGGAAACACCCAAAGUAGCAACACUGACUGCCUCUAGGGGGGGAAACCGAGCAUCUAGAAGGUGAGGUGUGUGUGGGUGUACUUUUGAGGUGUUGCCCACCUGUAUGUUUUGAAUAUUCUCUAAUCAAAAAAAAAAUUUAAAUAGAAUCAUUAAAAUUUUUUAAAACUGAAGACUUCCCCUGGAUCCUUUCCAUCAUCUUUAACUAGAACCAUUCUGGCUUUAUGACUAAACCUAUCUGCUUUGGUCAUUUACUUCUUUAAAACGAGACAACCAUGUGACAUCCUAGGAUCCAUCGAAUGACCUGGUUCACAAGAGAAGCCAGAGUGCAGUCAGGACAAGGCAAACAGCCCUUUACUGGAAGAAUUGGGCAAUCUAUCUGGUGAGAGGUAAGUUUAAAUAGGGCAGUGACACUGCACAACAAAGUCCCAUUUUUUGGACUUUAUGGGGGUUGAAAACCCUGCCUGACAGACUCAGAGUCCUUAACCAGACUGCCCCAGCGGGGAGAAGGGUACCAGGAGGGUUUCCACGAGGGCAGAGGCAGCAGGUGUCUGACUACCUACUCCAUUUGCAAGGACGAAUGGAAAGCCAGGGCUCACCACACAGGUGAACAGUAGAAGACUGCAUGAGCCGAUGGAAAAACAGACCCUAAGAGCAGCAGAAGAGGAGAAAGUCCAAAUAACAUCUUCAGUGAGAUUAAGACUAUAGUUUAUGGCAGUCUCGUGCAUCUAUCAACAAUAAGAACAUGCUAUAUAGAGAGACAAUUAGAAGACAAGAGUUACCUAGAGAUUGAAAAUAUAAUUGCUGAAGUUAAAAAACCCUUUAUUGGCCGGGCGCAGUGGCUCACACCUGUAAUCCUAGCACUUUGGGAGGCUGAGGCAGGCAGGUCACUUGAGCCCAGGAGUUCAAGACCAGCCUGGACAACACAGGGAGACCCUGUCUCUACAAAAAAAUUGCAAAGAUUAGCCGAGCAUGGUGGCAUGCACUUGUAGCUUGGGACUACAUCCUAGCUACGUGGGAGGCAUAGAUGGGAGGAUCACCUGGGCCCGGGAAGUGUGAGGCUGCAGUGAGCUGUGAUUGCACCACUGUACUCCAGUCUGGGCAACAGAGUGAGAUUCUGUCUCAAAAAACAAAAAAACAAACAAACAAAAAAACAAAACAAACAACAAAAACCACCUAAACUAAACUCCCCCCAAAAACCCUUUACUUAGAAAAUGAUGAAAAAGAGAAAGUGGCAUAAAAUAUUAGUGAAAAGUUAACAAUUCAAGAGGGCCAUCUGAGAUUGGACAUCCACUGGCAGGCAUCUCUGAGUGAGAACAGAAGAAAGAGGAAAUAUGAAGGCAUGGGAAGGGAGCUGCACAGAGUUAAGGAAGACUUUGGUUUGCAGAGCGAAAAGGAUUGCCUAAUGGAAGCACAAUAAGUAGG